AAAGCUCCCAGCAAGGGAUUAACCUUUCUUAUCUGCAAAACAGGUUGUCAGGGGAACUGCUUCUCUGCUGUCCUCACAUUUCCCUGCAGAGUCUUCCACUGGAAUAAUACUUCUGUUCUCUCCCACCUCCCCUACUCAUCUGCAUGUGGCAGGGAGUGUGGCUUAUCUGGCAGGGGAGAAAGGAGAACGGUUAGGGCCCAUGCAUGGCUCAAAGGACCUUCUCUUCAUUUUUUCUGGAGAGUUUUCCUGUCUGCAUAGCCUGUGUUUUCUACUUCCAUGGGGUAAGGACCCAGAACUUCUCUUCUGGAGGUUAAGAGUCCCACUCUGACCCCAAACAGGCAGAGGGGAAAAGAGUAACGUUGGAGUUGAAAAGCCUGGCAGACACCAUGUUCGACUGAGUGAUCAGAGUGAGCGCCGCCAGCCAUGAAACACACUGAAUCUGGAACAAUGGUGCAGCCCACUAUGGCUUCUCUGAUAGUCCUGCCAAAGGUGCAUCACCUGAACCUGACUAUGAGAAAGUGUCAGCCAAAGGAAAAUGGAGGGACAUUCUGUAAAACAACUGGCCUGUGCUCUUCAGAAGUGCCAAGGCCAAUAUAAAGAAAGGCUGAGGAACUGUUCUGGAAUCAAUAAGACUAAAAAGAGAUAUGACAAAAUAUGCAACAUGUGACUUUCAAUUGGAUCUUCAUUAUUAGGGCAACUGGAGAACCUUCUUGGGACCUGAUAAAUAAGUGGCAGUAAGGGCCUCAGCUGAAGAACCCAGAAGACAGUGGAAAAAGUUUUUCCCUCCCUAUAUGGGAGUGUGAGAGCCCAACUCUGCCUCAAGAGAGAAGAAAGUCUAAGGAGUUACUUGUGCUCCAGAGCUCCCUGGGAAUCAGACAGAGAGCCUAAUGGACCUGGAGGAAAAUAAAAACCCAACUCCAUUUCCCCCUAGCCACCCUGUCCUAGCUCAGGGAAAAACUGAGAAGCUGAAUGAAGCUCACAGUCCAGGGCACAGGCUCAAGACAGACUGGGUCCUAAUCACAGGUCUACACACUGAGUCCUAAUCACAGGGCUAUGGAACCCUUCCCUUCCCCACACCUCACCAAAGGCCUAUUUGCCACCGUUUCUGACCCAGUGCAUCACAUCUGGCUAUCAACAAACAAUCACAAGGCAUAAAAAAAGGUAAAGACCACAGUCUGAAAAGACAGAGCAAAUGUCAGAACCAGACUCAGCUAUGGCACGGAUGUUGGAACUAUGAGACUGGGGAUUUAAAAUAACUAUGAUUCAUGUGCUAAGGGCUCUAAUGGAUAAAGUGGACAGUAAGCAAGAACAGAUGGGCAAUGUAAAUAGAGAGAUCAAAGUUCUAAGAAAGAAUAAAAGAGAAAUGCGAGAGAUCAAAAACACUAACAAAUGAAGGAUGCUUCUCACGGGCUCAUUAGUAGGCUGGGCACAGCUGAGAAAGACUCUCUGAGGCUGAGGAUAUCUCAAUAGAAACAUCCAGAACUGAAAAGCAAAGGGAAAAAAUGCUGAAUGAAAAAGGCAUAGAAUAUCCAAGGACUGUGGGAUAAUUAGAAAAGGUAUAUGUUUAAUAGGAAUACCAAAAGGAGAAGACAGAGAGAAAGGAACAGAUGGAAAGUUGGAAACAAUAAUGACUGAAAAUCAGACACCAAACCACAGAUCCAGGAAGCUCAGAGAACACCAACCACGAUGAAUGUCAAAAUUAAGCCUAGCCACAUUGUUUUCAAACUACAGAAAAAUCAGAUAAGGAAAAAAAUCCCAAAAGAUGCCAAAGGUGAAAAACACCUUACUUCCUUAGAGGAACAAAGGUAAGAAUUUCAUCUGACUUCAUGGAAACCAUGCAAGCAAGAAGACAGUGGAGUGAAAUAUUGAAUGUGUUGAGAAAAAAACUCCACCAGUCUAGCAUUCUAUACUCUGUGACAUUAUCCUCCAAAAGUAAAGGAGACUUAAAGGCUUUCUCAGACAAACAAAAAUUCAGGGAAUUUGAUGCUAGCAGAUCUGCCUUGUUAAAUGUUCAAAGAAGUUAUUCAAGGCAAUAAAAAUUGUUAUAGGUCAGAAGGUCAUAUCUACAUAACAAAAGAAAGAACAUCAGAGAAGAAAUAAGUGAAGGUAAAAUGAAAUUUUUAACUUGUUACUCUUAAUCUAACAGAUCAAUUUGUUCAAAAUUAUUGUAGCCACAAUGUAUUAACAUAUAUACAAAUGUGCUACCGAGCCAUGAAAAGAUAUGAAGGAAACAAAUGCAUAUUACUAAGUAAAAGAAGCCAAUCUGAGAAAAGCUAUGUAAUAUAUAAUUCCAACCACAGGACUCACUGGAACAGGUAAAACUAAGGUGGCAAUAAAAGGAUUAGUGGUUGUCCGGGGUUAGGGUGUGGGAGGGAUGAACAGGUAGAGCACAGAGGAUUUUUUAGGGCAGCGAUUCUUUAUGAUAUGACAAUGGUAGAUACAGCUCAGACACUUGUCAAAACCCAUAGAAUGUGCAAAUGAAAAGUGAACCCUGAUGUGAACUAUGGACUUUGAGUGAUAAUGACGUGUCCAUGGAGGUUCUUUGACUGCAACAAACAUGCCACUUUGGUAGAGAAUGUCGAUCAAGGGGGAGGCUGUGCAUGUGUAGGGGCAGGGGGCAUAUGGAAAUCUCUGUACUUUCCACUUAAUUUUGCAGUGAACCUAAAACUGCUCUAAAAAGCAAAGUCUAUUAAAGAAAAUUCACAAUAACCUAAAACAGAUGUAGGCUAGAUUUGGCCAGAGGGCUACAGUUUGUCGAAUCUUGACUUAGAAUAAGUCCUUCGUUGAAGAAGUAAAAACUAUAACAAAAACCACCAACCAAAGUGUGUUCCAGUUACUGCUGCUGCAUAAUAAAUCACCCCCAAACAACUCUUUGAUUUUGCAUAAUCGUGUGGGUCAGGAAUUUUGGAAGGGCAUCUGCUGGGCAGUUGUCGAUCACUGUAGUCAGAUAUUGGCUGGGGCUGCAGCCACCUGAGGGCACAAGGGCCAGACAUCCAUGAUGCUCACUCCCGUGGCCUGGCAGCGGAUGGUGACUCUUGUCUGGGGGCACAGCUAGGCAGUCUGCUGGAGCACCACAUGAGGCCUCUCCAGCAUGGAGUUUUCUCAAUGCUGCAUGCUGCCCCCACAGCAAGCAACCCAAGAAAACCGGUGAAAGCUACAUGGCCUUUCCUUUUCUAGUGCUGAGAAGCCUCAGAGUAACUUCUUCCCCAUUCUUCUGGUUACAAGAGAAUCAGGAGCCAGUCCCACGUCAAGGGGAGGGAAGGUAGACACCACCUCUGAUGGGAAGCAUGUCAAAGACACUGUGGCUAAUUUUUAAAAUAAAGCAAUGUUGAAACUACA
rnacentral:lncRNA from 1 species